GAGAUGAGUUUUCCCUGACGCUAUAAGCGUCCUAAAGGGUUGUCGUAGACUACGACGUUGAUAGGCAGGGUGUGUAAGUGCUGCGAGGCAUUGAGCUAACCUGUACUAAUUGCCCGUGAGGCUUAACCAUACAACACCCAAGGGGUUU
rnacentral:rRNA from 1 species